ACACGAACAAACAAACAAACGGCGGAAAAAGCAAAGUCACCUAAUACGGCACACGCCGACAAUUCUGCUUAUCGCACUCACCUCGUGGACCACACAAGCAUGCUAUGGCAUCACAUGCUCUGAUGGGGUUCUUUUUCUUUGUGUUGUUCGCCUAUAUUUUGUGAGACCCUUCCCGAUCUCGGCUCGGAGAUAAUCGGAUAUAUCCGGAACGCUGUGAAACGCGAGGUACCAAAAAGAACGCGAACCACCAGUAGACCUGUCUCUAAAGGAGGUUUUGUUUUCGACACCAAAUUUAACCCUCACAAGACACCCCGCCAGUACGAUGACGCGCGCGCCUCUUCGUAUUCCUCGUAUAGCCGCUCCACACUGUUUAUGUCCCUCCACCCUGUGACUUCCUCUUGUGGAGUCACCUCGCAUCUUGUACGCAUUUCCAGGGCAGUCUUUCCUCUUCGGACAUGCCGAGAGCCGAACACCACUGUUAAGCGAUCGUCGAAGACGUCCAUGAUAACACUUUGACGAGGCGGGUGACGAUGUCUUGAGAAUCGAAACCACAGCGAGAUAAAAGUAUUUUGGCGAGGAAAAGAGCUGAUACAGUUGCCGCUCCAU
rnacentral:misc_RNA from 1 species